GAUGAACGCUAGCGGCAGGCCUAAUACAUGCAAGACGAACGGUAAGUUGAGUAGCAAUACUUAGCCAAGAGUGUCGUACGGGUGCGUAACACGUAUGCAACCUACCCUAUACAGGAGGAUAGCCUAGGGAAACCUGGAUUAACCCUUCAUAGUAUUAUUGGAUGGCAUCAUUUGAUAAUUAAAACUGAGGUGGUAUAGGAUGGGCAUGCGUCUGAUUAGUUAGUUGGCGGGGUAAUGGCCCACCAAGACGAUGAUCAGUAGGGGUUCUGAGAGGAAGAUCCCCCACACUGGCACUGAGAUACGGGCCAGACUCCUACGGGAGGCAGCAGUAGGGAAUAUUGGUCAAUGGAUGCAAGUCUGACCAGCCAUGCCGCGUGCAGGAAGAAGGCCUUCUGGGUUGUAAACUGCUUUUGAACGGGAGAAAUCUAUUUACGUGUAAAUAGUUGACGGUACCGUUAGAAUAAGGAU
rnacentral:rRNA from 1 species